GAGCACACCUGUGUCAGCUUCCAGUGCACUCUUCAGCUGCUGAGGACCAGGACAGCAGGAUUCACUCGGGAUCUUUAUUUCUUCAAGAUGCAUUCUUAAUGUAGCACGGUUCUCCUCUUCUCACAGAUCCAAAUGGAGUAUAGAAAAGAAAAAUCACACACAGAAAACUGCCACCAGAAACCAAAGAUGAGCAAAAACCAACAGGACAGAUAGAAAAAUGGAGGACAGAAAUGAAACACAGACCACUGUAUCUCAAGAGAAAAGCAGACAGAGACUUGUUAGAUGGGACAGUAUGGAGAGGUUAAAACCAUUGUUAUCAGAUGAUCCAGACGGGCAGAUAAAGUUUAAUUCUGAUGUCAAAAGCUCUUCAGCAUGUUCUCAGGAACACACAACAUCACCGAGACACCAGCAGCUGAAGACCUGAACAUCUUCUUCAUCAUCAUCAUCAUCUCCAGACUCCAGUCUCUUCAGCUCCAGAACUGUUUUCAGACUCAUCUGAUCACAAACUAACAGACUAAUGAACCAUUUCCUUCGCAGAUCUGUGUCUGAGAACCGUUUUAUUGAUCUGGAGCAGCACCUUAUGAGAUCAUUUUGUAUAUUGUGAUUAAUUUAAGAGAUUCUAUCCACCUUAUUUAAUUCUAACAGAAAGGCAGGCGUGACUAUUUGUUAUUAAAUGUACAGUAUCUGGCUUCCACUGUUGUACAGUUCCAAUUAUUUUUAGCUUGUUAUGCUUCCUGACAUUGAAAAACCUGUACUGUAUUGUAGAGAUUCUCAACUCUGGCUCAGGAUCCACUUUUCUGCAGAGUUGAGCUCCAAUCCUGAUCAAACUCACUCUUUCUAGUGAUCCUAAAGACCUUGAUGAACCUGUUCAGGUGUGUUCGAUGAGGGCUGGAGAUAAACUCUGCAGGAACUGCACCUUAAGGGCCAAAGUUAAGAAACAACUGCUGUAUUGUUUCAUAAAAAUAAAGAAAUACAAUUUUUUACAAAAAGCUGAAAAAAAAAUAGGAAUUGGAUUCAGAAUGACAAUC